rnacentral:rRNA from 1 species
AGCGAACGCUGGCGGCAGGCCUAACACAUGCAAGUCGAACGGACCCUUCGGGGUUAGUGGCGGACGGGUGAGUAACACGUGGGAACGUGCCUUUAGGUUCGGAAUAGCUCCUGGAAACGGGUGGUAAUGCCGAAUGUGCCCUUCGGGGGAAAGAUUUAUCGCCUUUAGAGCGGCCCGCGUCUGAUUAGCUAGUUGGUGAGGUAAUGGCUCACCAAGGCGACGAUCAGUAGCUGGUCUGAGAGGAUGACCAGCCACAUUGGGACUGAGACACGGCCCAAACUCCUACGGGAGGCAGCAGUGGGGAAUCUUGCGCAAUGGGCGAAAGCCUGACGCAGCCAUGCCGCGUGGAUGAUGAAGGUCUUAGGAUUGUAAAAUCCUUUCACCGGUGAAGAUAAUGACUGUAGCCGGAGAAGAAGCCCCGGCUAACUUCGUGCCAGCCGCCGCAGUAA